GACGAACGCUGGCGGCGUGCUUAACACAUGCAAGUCGAACGGAAAGGCCCUGGUUUGGUGGGGUGCUCGAGUGGCGAACGGGUGAGUAACACGUGAGUAACCUGCCCUUGACUUUGGGAUAACUUCAGGAAACUGGGGCUAAUACCGGAUAGGAGCUCCUGCUGCAUGGUGGGGGUUGGAAAGUUUCGGCGGUUGGGGAUGGACUCGCGGCUUAUCAGCGUGUUGGUGGGGUAGUGGCUUACCAAGGCUUUGACGGGUAGCCGGGCUGAGAGGGUGACCGGCCCCAUUGGGACUGAGCUACGGCACAGACUACUACGGGAGGCAGCAGUGGGGAAUAUUGCACAAUGGGCGGAAGCCUGAUGCAGCAACGCCGCGUGCGGGAUGACGGCCUUCGGGUUGUAAACCGAUUUCGCCUGUGACGAAGCGUGAGUGACGGUAAUGGGUAAAGAAGCACCGGCUAACUACGUG
rnacentral:rRNA from 1 species